rnacentral:rRNA from 1 species
AGUAAUACAUCGGAACGUGUCUUCUAGUGGGGGAUAACUGCCCGAAAGGGCAGCUAAUACCGCAUGAGACCUGAGGGUGAAAGCGGGGGAUCGCAAGACCUCGCGCUGGAAGAGCGGCCGAUGUCCGAUUAGCUAGUUGGUGAGGUAAAGGCUCACCAAGGCGACGAUCGGUAGCUGGUCUGAGAGGACGACCAGCCACACUGGGACUGAGACACUGCCCAG